rnacentral:misc_RNA from 1 species
GGAAGUUGACUGUUUGAAAUACAACUGAUGGUCCCCUGCAACUUUCACGGCACCUUCCUGUAAUACCAUCUUCAGUCUUGAUCCAAUUCAGUUUAUCAUCCAAUUUCUCAUCUGGGUCACUGUUUUUAUGCUAUAGUUUCACAAAUGGUGGCUUCUUCUCUGGCAUCUCCACUAUGUACAUGGCUCGUAGCAGCUUGCAUGUCUGUAUCCAGCGAAAAGGAUCAAUUUUCGAAGCCUGCUUCUAGCUUUCAGUCUUCCAAGUUCAUGGGUAGGAGAAGAAAAGCGAUUACCAAGUUCAAAAGUGGGAGCUUGAUGAAUGGUUCUGUAAUGAACACUUCUUGGCAUAAUUGUUUUGGUUUUGAGCCCUGUGAGGAGUAUUAUAAAUCAGACGGAUUCUCUGCUUCUUUUUCGUCUUUAUUUGCCGAAAAUCCGUUUUCUGUAUUUGGGUUUAAACAGGUGCCAUUGAAUCGAAGGCAGAGGAGAAUGAGCUCUGCUGCUCAUCCUGGCAAACCCAUGGCUGUGGCUGUGCAACCUGCAAUGGAAGCCACGACAAUGAAGAAACCUCUUAUGAGGAACAGGAGAGUUGUUGUGACCGGGGUCGGUGUAGUAUCACCAAUUGGUCAUGAUCCAGACAUGUUUUAUAGUAAUCUUCUUGAAGGCAUCAGUGGUAUAAGUCAGAUUGAGGCUUUCGACUGUUCUGAAUUUCCCAGUAGAAUUGCUGGGGAAAUCAAGGAAUUUUCGACUAAUGGAUGGGUUGCACCCAAACUUUCGAAAAGAGCAGAUAAGUUCAUGCUUUAUAUGCUUACUGCUGGAAAGAAAGCUUUGGCAGAUGGUGGGAUCACAGAAGACUUAUUGCAGGAAUUAGAUAAGGCUAGAUGUGGGGUCCUUAUUGGCUCUGCCCUUGGAGGGAUGAAGGUCUUCCAUGAUGGCAUUGAGGCUUUACAGGUGUCGUACAAGAAGCUGAAUCCUUUCUGUGUACCUUUUGCAACAUCCAAUAUGGGAGCUGCCAUGCUUGCAAUAGAUUUGGGUUGGAUGGGUCCAAGCUACUCAAUCUCCACUGCAUGUGCAACAAGUAACUUCUGUAUAUUGAGUGCUUCAAAUCAUAUAAUUAGAGGUGAAACAGAUAUGAUGCUUUGUGGGGGGUCAGAUUCGGCAAUUAUUCCUAUAGGCUUGGGAGGUUUCAGUGCUUGUGGAGCCCUGUCACAGAGGAAUAGUGAUCCAACAAGGGCUUCACGUCCCUGGGAUAUGGACCGUGAUGGAUUUGUGAUUGGGGAAGGAUCCGGCGUCUUACUUUUAGAAGAACUUGAACAUGCAAAGACGAGAAAGGCUAAAAUAUAUGCUGAGUUUUUGGGUGGAAGCUUCACUUCUGAUGCUUAUCACAUGAUAGAGCCACAUCCAGAAGGAAGUGGAGUUGUUCUCUGCAUAGAAAAGGCCUUGGCUCAAUCUGGGGUGAAACGUGAAGAUGUCAACUAUAUAAAUGCUCAUGCUGCAUCAACGCCAGCCGGUGACCUGAACGAAUAUCAGGCUAUUCUGCAUUGCUUUGGGAAGAACCCUGAACUUAAAAUAAAUUCAACAAAGUCCAUGACUGGUCAUCUCCUUGGGGCUGCUGGUGCUGUGGAAGCCAUCGCAACAGUCAAGGCCAUACAUACAGGAUGGAUCCAUCCAAACAUCAAUCUUGAGAACCCUGACAAUGGCUUGGAUAUGAAUGUGCUGGUGGGCUCUAAGAAGGAGCGCUUGGAUAUCAAGGUUGCACUCUCCAACUCAUUUGGCUUUGGAGGACACAACUCGUCUAUUCUAUUUGCGCCUUAUAAGAAUGUCUAAUUCAAUCCUUGCACAUAUCAUGUUUAAAGAAUGUAAUGUUGUGUUGAUUUUCAUCAAGUUGCCCUUGAAAGAUUCCAGCAUGCCAACGAAAGCUAGAACAUGAACUAAACAUCUUUACUAGUUCAUCAAAAAGGAAAGCUGGCACCGGAGAUCACGAGUGUGUGAAGUCAUUUUCCUAACUGUACUACCUUUUUAACUACUAUAGAUAUUUUGAAAUUGGGUUCAUCUUUCUAUUAGUUGUUCUUAGGUAUGAACUGUAGCAGCCAAUACAUAAUUCAUCUCACAUCUGCUUGGAAAUGAGAAAUAUGUUUUUUUCUUUGUGAUAUACUAUUGUUGUAUUU